rnacentral:siRNA from 1 species
GUUAUCGAUCACAGAUUUGUUGGU